rnacentral:rRNA from 1 species
GACGAACGCUGGCGGCGUGCUUAACACAUGCAAGUCGAACAGUGAAGCCCUUCGGGGUGGAUCAGUGGCGAACGGGUGAGUAACACGUGAGCAACCUGCCCCUGGCUCUGGGACAACCACUGGAAACGGUGGCUAAUACCGGAUACGACCCGCCUCGGCAUCGAGUGUGGGUGGAAAGUUUUUCGGCUGGGGAUGGGCUCGCGGCCUAUCAGCUUGUUGGUGAGGUGAAGGCUCACCAAGGCGACGACGGGUAGCCGGCCUGAGAGGGCGACCGGCCACACUGGGACUGAGACACGGCCCAGACUCCUACGGGAGGCAGCAGUGGGGAAUAUUGCACAAUGGGCGAAAGCCUGAUGCAGCGACGCCGCGUGAGGGAUGACGGCCUUCGGGUUGUAAACCUCUUUCAGCUCCGAAGAAGCGAAAGUGACGGUAGGAGCAGAAGAAGCACCGGCUAACUACGUG